rnacentral:rRNA from 1 species
UACGUAGGGUGCGAGCGUUAAUCGGAAUUACUGGGCGUAAAGCGUGCGCAGGCGGUUUUGUAAGCCAGAUGUGAAAUCCCCGGGCUUAACCUGGGAAUGGCAUUUGGGACUGCAAGGCUUGAGUGCGGCAGAGGAGACUGGAAUUCCUGGUGUAGCAGUGAAAUGCGUAGAUAUCAGGAGGAACACCGAUGGCGAAGGCGGGUCUCUGGGCCGAUACUGACGCUGAGGAGCGAAAGCGUGGGGAGCGAACAGG